UCCUCAGUAGCUCAAUGGCAGAGCACUCGGCUGUUAACCGAGUUGUUGCAAGUUCGAGUCUUGCCUGGGGAGCCA
rnacentral:tRNA from 1 species